UACGUAGGUGGCAAGCGUUGUCCGGAUUUACUGGGCGUAAAGGGCGCGUAGGCGGCGCGGGCAGUCAACGGUGAAAGCUCGGAGCUCAACUCCGAGUCGGCCGUCGAUACUCCCGUGCUUGAGCACUGUAGAGGCAGGUGGAAUUCCGGGUGUAGCGGUGGAAUGCGUAGAGAUCCGGAAGAACACCGGUGGCGAAGGCGGCCUGCUGGGCAGUAGCUGACGCUGAUGCGCGACAGCGUGGGGAGCAAACAGG
rnacentral:rRNA from 1 species